CAUCUCUCUUCUUUUCUCUCUGCAGUGGCGAGGAAGAAGAAACAAGCCAAACCGCUGAGCUUCAAAGUCGGCAUGGGCAAAGUGAUCAGAGGAUGGGAUGAGGGUCUUCUAACAAUGAGCAAAGGAGAAACUGCUCGACUGGAGAUUGAACCUGAGUGGGCCUAUGGAAAGAAGGGCCUCCCCGACUCCAAGAUCCCACCGAAUGCAAAGCUGUUCUUUGAGGUUGAGCUGGUGGCUGUGGACUAAACAAAGCAACGAAAAACCCCAGCCAGCAUGCACUAUGUUUCAAGAAUGCACUCACUUUUAAAGGCCUUGUUGUAACGAUUGAAGUGGCUCUUGGGUUGUUUGGCGCCCAGCUUCCAGGAUUCUUUGUUCUAUCACAUUUAAACAGACUGGAUUAACAGAUGAUUACCAGUCAUAACUGCGUUCUCGGUUGUGGCCAGAAUGGAAUGGCUUGUCAAUAAUGUAUAUAUGAGAGACCACGAAACACGAUCUGCUUUUUGUUCUGUUCUUCUGCAUGUACGAUGUAAAUGAUGAAUAAACUUCUCUCAGUUCCCACUAAGGAAUGACAACCUGA